rnacentral:lncRNA from 1 species
AAAGGAUUUGUUGUAAAUUAUGCUCCAUUGGUCUUUUUGUGUUUUUCUACCCACCUUUACCUCCGUGACGGUGAGAUAUCGUGAUGUCUUUACUGGGCUAGUGUAGCUUAUUCCUUAUUUAAUCAUUUCAGAUCAAGAGGACAUCGUUCCCGAGCCGCUUCCGCAGGAGGACGACGAAGGGGACGCCUGAGGACUCCAUAGUCACAUUCGUAGUUUUUACUUUCAAGUUUCUCUUUUAGGUAGUUUAAUCUUUUAUAUUUUGUGAGCACGUUUUGGUUUUAGUGUAAGGGAUGUUAUUCAAAUUUUGACUUCGCUUCCGCAUUGACAUUUUUAUAUACACUCCAUUUUUAUAUACAUUCUCAUUAUGAGAAAGGGUCAUUCGAGCGUAUCUAAAUAGAUACUAUGUUUACAUAUGGAUCCCUACGUCGUUACAUUCCAUUUAGGAUUAGGAAUAGGCGUAAUCGGACCUACUUUUUACAUAUCUCUCGUUAUUUGGGACCUAUUCACCUCUUUGUGCUUCUAUUGAAUCGAGAAAUAGGUUUGAUUGUCCAUCUUUUUGAUAAUUAAUAUCAGAUUCGUUUCCUCUUUAAACGUGAUCGGAUGGUCGAGAUCAAAUCGCGAUGAACGGUCCAGAUUCAUUUCUUCUUUAAACGCGAUAAGACGGUCGAGAUCAAAUGCGAUGAACGGUC